ensembl:snRNA U6 U6 spliceosomal RNA
UUGCUCGCUUUGGCAGCACAUAUACUAAAAUUGGAAUGAUACAGAGAAGAUUAGCAUCGUCCCUAUGCAAGGAUGGCACGCAAAUUCAUGAAGUGUUCCAUAUUUUU